UGUCCCUACGGGGGGCAGCAGUAGGGAAUUUUCGUCAAUGGGCGCAAGCCUGAACGAGCAAUGCCGCGUGAACGAGGAAGGUCUUCGGAUCGAAAAGUUCUGUUGAAGGGGAAAAAGAGCGGAGAGUGGAAAUGGUCUCCGUUUGCUAUUACCCUUCGAGGAAGUCACGGCUAACUACGUGCCAGCAGCCGCGGUAAUACGUAGGUGGCGAGCGUUAUCCGGAAUGAUUGG
rnacentral:rRNA from 1 species